UACGUAGGGUGCAAGCGUUAAUCGGAAUUACUGGGCGUAAAGCGUGCGCAGGCGGUUCGCUAAGUCAGGGGUGAAAUCCCGAGGCUCAACCUCGGAACUGCCUUUGAUACUGGGAAUCUUGAGUACGGGAGAGGUGAGUGGAAUUGCGAGUGUAGAGGUGAAAUUCGUAGAUAUUCGCAAGAACACCAGUGGCGAAGGCGGCUCACUGGCCCGAGACUGACGCUGAGGCGCGAAAGCGUGGGGAGCAAACAGG
rnacentral:rRNA from 1 species